ACGACUACAUUAGAUACCCGGGUAGUCCAGGGUGUAAACGCUGCGGGCUUGGUGUUGGGGGGUCCUUUGAGGGCGCCCAGUGCCGGAGAGAAGUUGUUAAGCCUGCUGCUUGGGGAGUACGUCCGCAAGGAUGAAACUUAAAGGAAUUGGCGGGGGAGCACCGCAACGGGAGGAGCGUGCGGUUCAAUUGGAUUCAACGCCGGACAACUCACCAGGAGCGACGGUUACAUGAAGGCCAGGCUGAUGACCUUGCCUGAUUUUCCG
rnacentral:rRNA from 1 species